rnacentral:rRNA from 1 species
CCUACGGGAGGCAGCAGUGGGGAAUAUUGCACAAUGGGGGAAACCCUGAUGCAGCGACGCCGCGUGAGUGAAGAAGUAUUUCGGUAUGUAAAGCUCUAUCAGCAGGGAAGAAAAUGACGGUACCUGAUUAAGAAGCCCCGGCUAACUACGUGCCACCAGCCGCGGUAAUACGUAGGGGGCAAGCGUUAUCCGGAGUUACUGGGGGUAAAGGGAGCGUAGACGGCAGCACAAGUCUGGAGUGAAAUGCCGGGGCUUAACCCCGGAACUGCUUUGGAAACUGGGCAGCUAGAGGGCAGGAGAGGUAAGUGGAAUUACUAGUGUAGCGGUGAAAUGCGUAGAUAUUAGGAGGAACACCAGUGGCGAAGGCGGCUUACUGGACUGUAACUGACGUUGAGGCUCGAAAGCGUGGGGAGCAAACAGGAUUAGAUACCCCUGUAGUC